UCGUGGCUGUUUCCCACCAUACAGCGGGGUGCUAGGUGGCACAGGCCACAAACAAACCCCGAUAUAUGGUGCGAACAGCACGACGUC
rnacentral:pre_miRNA from 1 species